rnacentral:rRNA from 1 species
UGACCUCAGAUCAGGCAAGACUACCCGCUGAAUUUAAGCAUAUUAAUAAGCGGAGGAAAAGAAACUAACAGGAUUCCC